AGAACGAACGCUGGCGGCAUGCCUAACACAUGCAAGUCGAACGAGACCUUCGGGUCUAGUGGCGCACGGGUGCGUAACGCGUGGGAAUCUGCCCUUGGGUUCGGAAUAACAGCGAGAAAUUGCUGCUAAUACCGGAUGAUGACGUAAGUCCAAAGAUUUAUCGCCCAAGGAUGAGCCCGCGUAGGAUUAGCUUGUUGGUGAGGUGAGAGCUCACCAAGGCGACGAUCCUUAGCUGGUCUGAGAGGAUGAUCAGCCACACUGGGACUGAGACACGG
rnacentral:rRNA from 1 species